UGACGGUACUUGACUAAGAAGCCCCGGCUAACUACGUGCCAGCAGCCGCGGUAAUACGUAGGGGGCAAGCGUUAUCCGGAUUUACUGGGUGUAAAGGGAGCGCAGGCGGCCAUGCAAGUCAGAAGUGAAAGCCCGGGGCUCAACCCCGGGACUGCUUUUGAAACUGUAAGGCUAGAUUGCCGGAGAGGUAAGCGGAAUUCCUAGUGUAGCGGUGAAAUGCGUAGAUAUUAGGAGGAACACCAGUGGCGAAGGCGGCUUACUGGACGGUAAAUGACGCUCAGGCUCGAAAGCGUGGGGAGCGAACAGGAUUAGAUACCCUG
rnacentral:rRNA from 1 species